AUUCGUAAUUUGCAGAAUGGCGAUCUGCUCAUUCCUCGUUUCUUCUUUAAUUAACUGUGGCAAUUAACUGACAGUUCCUGAGAGACCACCCUUUCUGGGUCAGAAAGGCAGGUGGUUGCUUUUCCCCUGGAUUUCCCCAUCUUCAGAGGACAGGUCAGUUUGGGAGGCACUUGCCUAAGUAAAACAGGAAAGAUGUUGGAUGGUGAGGGAAGGGGGAGCCAGGGGCGGCUGCAGACCAGUGCUGGAGGCCAGGGGCCCGACGUCUCCCAGCAGCUCAGCACCAGCCCCAGGUGCUCACAGCCGGGUCCUCACUCUGCACUGGUGUCUGACGACAGGCAGGCUCCCACUUAGCUCUGGUCUUGCAUUUAUGGGGGAGAGAGGUCUCCGUCCUUAGGCCAAGUGUGCCCAGGAACACAGCUGGGGGUGGCAGGGAGAAGGUGAGACCCAGACCCAGUUCCCGGAUGCGGCCCUCUCUGUGCCACCCUGCCCCCGGGAGGCCAGCGUCACCUCUUCCUACCCUCCCCUAGCUUGUCAGGGGGGGACGCCACGGUCCUGGCUCUUCUCGGGCUGCAGAGCAGAGGCGGCAGGACAGGGCUGGAGGUGGUAGGCUGAUCCCGCAGACAGUCUUCACUGGGAUGGAGCCGCCCUGGGAUGACAGUCUCCGUCCCUCUUUUAGCCUGACUCAGGCUUGCGUGGCUUUGGGGGCUGCAGCCAACAGUGAUGCCCUCUCCACUGUUCAUGGCGAUGGCCAAGCCUGGUCACCCUAGCUGUGUGAGGGGCCAGAAUGUUCAGGGAAUGUGUGUGUGUGUGUGUGUGUGGCGGCCCUGGGGAUGGAACCCAGGGCCACUCUACCACCAAGCCCUUUUUAUUAUUAUUUUUCCUUUUGAGAUAGGGCCUCUCUAAGGUGCUCAGGCUGGCCUCAAACUUGUGGUCCUCCUGCCUCAGCCUCCCGAGUUGCCAGGCUUACCAGCACAUGCCAUUGUGCUGUUCUCAGGGAAUUUUAAGAACUGCCUCAAAUGGAAAAAAGAGAGAAAGAAAACCCUUUGGACUAAGCCAUUUGGUGAGAUAGGGACGGAGGGCCCAGGCUGACGGGAUGCCAAGACGGCCACAGGCCCACAGGGUGACACAGUCUGGUGGAUCAGUCGUUUCCUGUUGGGCCUGGAAAGGGGGAGACAUUUGUGACAUAAACCAAGGUCAUGGCCCUUGGAGGAAGCCCUGCUGGGAUCAGUGAUGCCUGUCUCACUUUCCUUGUGUGGGCCGGGGCGUGAACUCUUGGUGUUCUGUGUUUGAAGCAGCUUUCUGAGUCCCCUGUUUCCUCCAGAGGAGUUUGAGGAAGAGCUGAGGUGAAGGCAGCCACGGAGGACGAG
rnacentral:lncRNA from 1 species